UAAGCAGGCUCACCGGAAACACCGCAGGCUCAGCUGAUUUGGCUGAACCGGCUUCACUCCAUUCCGUGAAUCUAAGUUACCAUGGCAGUUUGUUGUUGACCAUCCCCCUUGAACCCUUGACCCACUACUAUACCCAUCUGAUUUGUAGACCAGGAGACAGGAGAUGGGCAGUCAAUUAUGGCAAGACAAAACAUUAUUUUUUGGCAAACUUAUAAUAAAUAAAAAUACUUUAAAAAAU